GAAACUAAACACAUUGUUCUUCACCAUAUUUGGAUUGCGUUUUCUGACCAUUAAAGGAAUAAUAUUCAGUUUGAUUUCAACUUGUCGAAUUUGGUUAAGUUGAGGUCGUUUGAACAUUAAAGCCAAGCCUCAAAGUAUGUGCUCAUGUAUAUCCAUGGAUCAAGCUUCUUCUUCCCAGAUGGUGUUAAAGAACAGGUCCUAUUCUUAGCUGCAGUGAUGGCAAGACGAUAAUGCAGAGCUUAAAGAUAUCUUGGUAUCUACCCCCCAGCAUUUAGUCAAUUCCCACACAGCUCUUAUAUAUAUAUAUAUAUAUAUAUAUGAAAACAUUAUCAUAAUAUAUACCUUCUUUAGUUAAAUUCAUGCUUCUUUAGCUCCAAAGCCUCUAGUCUUGAGUUCUAAAUGAAGCUAGUUUAGGGUAUGGGCAGAGAGGGUCAUUGCCCUGAUCACUCAAACCAGAGGGGAUAUCUAACUUGUGGACCUCAAACUGUUAUUUCACUACAACUUCUAUCACCAAAUGAAGCAGAAGGCUGUUUGAGGGGUGUUAUCAGUCAACUGCAGUUUAACAACAGCUGGAUGGGUAUCACAGGUUGGAUUCCACCCCCCCCCCCCAGUUAUAUAAUUGUUACCUUAGAUUGGUGCCCCAUUUUCCUGUAUUAUGCCCCCUCCCCAUCAAAUUCAAGCCCUUGUCAUUCAAGCUAUUUAAGCUAACAUAGGAUGGAAAAAUUGAAAAGUCUAAUGUAACAAUCUUAGUGCUAUGGUGCAUUGUGUAUUUUAUUGAGGUAAUAUAACCUUGGGGAUCACUUUCUAUUGACUACAAUAAAGGGGAGAAUUAUCAACAUUUGAAUUUGAUUUUUUCACAAUUCAUUUUUCCUUAAUAAGUAUUUAAUGCAAAGACAAGUGCAAACACAUUUUUAGUAAAAAAAAAAAAAAAAAAAAAAAGGAUGUGCAGUGCUAUUUAUACAGCUGACCAGUGGGAAGUAAUUUGUUUUUUAUAAUUUUUACAACAUGGCAGUCUGUGUUUAAAGUAAAUAAGCAAAAACAUAUGAAAUGCUGGCGCCUUUACCACUGCAUAGCAACACAAAUAAUUCCAGGUUGGCACAGUUUCUGUACCACUGUCAUUUAUCAACUUUAUAUUUGGUAACAUUGACACCUCUCCUACUAAAAUAGAAUGCCCAUGAAAAGGUAUUACAGGUAUUCCAAUUUGACAUGUACUUUUGUAAAAAUGUGUUAAAUUCCUCUAUUAAAGUGCUCUUAUGUAAACUA